UUAGAUGAUGUAAUCAUAAACUUUCAGGGACGGAUUUCUAAACGCAGAUGAGUUUGCUCUGGCAAAAUACCUUGUGAGGUUAAAGCUGUCUGGUCAUGAGCUGCCUGCUGAACUACCUAAGCACCUGGAACCUCCUAAGCAUCAACCUAAAGAGAACGGUGAAGGGCAAACUAAUGGAUCUAAUUAGAGCAGUACUGUACACGCUGUACGUUUCCUGUACAUACCGUACUGUACAACACAUUGGACACUUUACUGUUUUACAAUAUUUUAAUUACUAGAAGCACGAAAAGUUACUUUAUAUGUAGCCAGGGCCCUUAAAACAUAACAAAAACUCUAAGUUUUCACUAAAAUAAUUACCAUCCCCCUUCCCUCCCCUACCCUCAUCAUUGUUUUUGGAUUGUACGUAAUCCAACCGAUACUGUAAAUUUUACAAAGAAAUGGUGAUGUUAUAAAGUCAUAGUAGAGCAACUUUAAAAUAAAUAUAUGUGAUAAACAAAUCGAAUUUUUAUAUUUAGAUGCAAAAAUAGAAAAUUAUUGUUAAGCUUAUUUAGACAUUUCAUUUAGAGCAAUAUGAAAUUCUUUUUAUUUAUUCAGUUUUUAUUCUUAUGAUUUGCUUAAUGAUAAAAAAAUAUUUAUUCUUAAUUAUAGUUUUUAUUAUUUUUCGAUAUUUUUUGUAAAUUCUGAAAAGGACUAUCUCCGUAAUUUUGAGAGAAUCUCCAGAUCAAGACUUUGAGACUUUAAUCUGAUCAAAAAUGUUGAAGACCACGUCGGUUUUCAGACUUGAAAAGUUUCAAACUCUGAUAAUUUCUUCAUUGUUUCUUAAUCAAGAAAUGCACAAGACAUUUUUAAAAUGAAACCUCAAAUAAUAUAAUCAGUUAAAAAACAAGGCUAUUUAUUAUCUUAUUUCUUCUUGAUCAUAAAAAAGCGUUUAAGGAUACUGUUAAUUGGACAUGCCACUCUAUCAAUGGAGGGUCCCUUAAAAUUAAGUUUACAGCCCCUAAAGGACCGGUUUACAGCCCCUAAAGGACUGGUUUACAGCCCCUAAAGGAUCGGUUUACAGCCCCUAAAGGACCGGUUCGAUUUGUCCUUGGAAUUUUACGAAGUAAAUGUACUUAACUACAAAUAUAAUUUUGCAAUAAAAUUUGAAUCAAC